GUGUCCAAACUCCAAGGGCUGCCACGCGUUCGAAUUCACCUCAGUGCGCCUCGUCGUCCACAAGAGGUCAGAAGCAAACAGCACAAGUCAUCAACUCCAGUGGGGCCGCCAACACGUCAGCGUGAUUUAUGCAUGAUGAAAAGAUGCGCGGCGAGUUGGACAAGUGUUUAAAUGGAAGUGUAGUGUGCUGGGAAAUGUCCCGCUUUGUGGUCUGCGACGAGAGGCGUGAAGUGGGCCUGACCGUCACGCCUUCCCCGUUCACGCCGUCACUCAAACAGGUCUCGUGCCUCGGAUCCCAACGCUGACCCGCUGCGUGGAAGGAAGGCGCAACGCGAUCCACGUGCUUCUCCUGAGAUUCUUUGCGCCCACUCUUGGCCUUUUUGUUUUUUUCCCUUUCACUUUCCGCGUCUUCCCCUCAGCCGCGGAUCUCACCGGGGGGCUUGCCUGAGCACUUUCCCCCCGCAGCCGCCGCAGCAGGGAUGGCCACCGCGAGGCUCGACUACGUGGCUCCGUGGUGGACCUACUGGCUGCACCAUUUCCCCCACUUGGACUUGUCGUUCAAGCCCGUGGACGGCGCGUUUAGACCGGAGCAGGACGACUACCAGCAGUCUGUGGUGGUCCUGGCCUUCGUCGGAGCAGCGGGCCUCGGUGUGAGCCUGCUGGUUUUGGUGGUCUUCUUGCUGUGCCUGUGUUGCUGCCGAAGGGACGUGGACGAAGACGCCAAAAGGCCCGAGAGGACCUGCUGUGUGACAUGGUCGGCCGUCGUCACGGGCCUUAUCAUAUGUUCUGCUGUGGGAGUGGGUUUCUAUGGAAACAGCGAGACCAAUGACGGCGUGUACCAGUUAACCUACUCCAUCUACAACGCCAAUCGCACUUUGGGCAGCAUAAACAGCCUGUCCUCAGGCUCUUUGGGAAACACGGAAAGGGGAGUCAAGCAGCACCUGGAGCGUCUGGACGAGAUCUUUGCGGCGCGGCCCGACUACCUUCAGGCUCUGCGCUUCAUGCAGCUGAUGGUGAACAACAUCAUCCGGGAACUGACGGCCCUGCCAGACCUCAGCAGAGCCAACGUGGACCUGGCCGGCGCCGCGGACCAGACAGCCUUCAUUGAGUAUUACAGGUGGCUCACCUACCUGCUCCUGCUGAUCCUGGAUCUGCUCAUAUGUCUGGCCGUGUGCUUGGGGAUGGCCAAGCAGUCUCGAUGGCUGCUCAUCAUGAUCAUGGCCUUUGUGCUGCUGUCUGUGAUCUUGAGCUGGGCCUCACUGGGAGCCAUCUUAGCUACAGCUGUGGGCACCAGCGACUUCUGCGUGUCUCCCGACAAGUUCAUUGUGAACCAAACCAAAGAUUUCCUCAGUGCAGAUGUUGCUCACUAUUAUUUGUUCUGCAGUCCGAAUCUACCCAACCCCUUCCAACAGUCUCUGACGAUCUGCCAGCGCUCGCUGACCACAAUGCAGAUUCAGGUCCAGGGUUUGCUGCAGUUCUCUGUGCCCAUCUUCCCCACCGCUGAGAGAGACCUUUUAGGCAUCCAGCGCCUGUUGAACACCAGCGAGUUUAAUCUGCACCAGUUGACGGCCUUGCUCGAUUGUCGCGGGCUGCACAAGGACUACCUGGAUGCCCUCAUGGGCGUGUGCUACGACGGCGUCGAAGGCCUCCUCUACCUGGUUUUGUUCUCGCUAGUGGCGGCGUGCGCACUCUCCGCCAUGCUGUGUGCUAUUUUCAGACUGUGGACGCUAAUGGGAAGCAGAGACAAAGAGUACGACGAUAUAGACGAGGAUGACCCGUUCAACCCUCAAGCGCGACGCAUGUCCUACAACCAGAGGAGAUCCAACAUUCACAGCUUCUGCAGCUACACCAGCAGCGUUGGCAGUCAGGCCAGCAUCCAUCCUCCACCUCAGGCGGCCGCCAGUGUGCUGCCCGCCCCCGAAUACAUGAAUCAGUCCAUGCUGUUUGGCGGGAGCCCGCGAUACGAAAACGUGCCAUUGAUAGGCAGAGGAUCCCCGCCCCCGUCGGUGCGUUGGCCCUACAUGGCCCUGGUGUCCCAAGUCUGACCACCACAACCCCCACUCAGCUCACACACACAGCAAAAACACCCUCCAGCACCUGCACUCACUCAACCUCAUUUUGGCCACAACAAAUAAAACUUGAGUAACUGCAAGUGGUGGAAGACUGCCCUCUGGUGGCCUAACGACUGAGCCAUCAUUUCCACCGGGGAAUUAAAUUGCCUCUUAAUAAGACAAAUGCAUCAAAUGUGUAAAACAACCUCCAGUGAGCACGCAAGACUGCAUUGUUACCUCGCUCGCUCGUAUGUAAUAAUAGAAAUGUUAAUCCCAAAGCUGAUAGUCAAUAAGUGAGUCAUGUGUCCCCGGAGCGGCGGCUAAAUAAUUGAUAACGCUGGUAAAUCCACACUUUUUCUCCUUUAAAGUGCCCUCUCUCUUUUAUAAUGAGGCUUCUGUCGGACGGCGGGACCGCAUUACUACAUUCACAGAAUUUAAAUGACUUGGAAAAGGCAGACAAUGUGGCCCGCUGUUUAAAAAUGUACACUCUCUGUCUCUGUGAGAUACAUUUCAACGCAGCCAUUAAAGGCAGCUCAUACAAGAAUAAUGGGCCUUAUCACGGAAUAUCAAUGCGGCGUAUUGUAAGCGUCGCAAAAUGCUAUUUGCAUAAUUCUGCCCCAUAUUGCCUCAUUGCAACACGAGUCCAAGUCUUAGAAACGGCUUCAGGAUGAUGCAGUGCACUUCUUAAACCGCAAUAGUAAGCAUAUUGUUAAAUUAAUAUCUCAAAAUUGGGCAUUAUUAUCCUUUUUUAAAGGCAGAAUGUUUAAUACGGUUCUUAAAAAUAAUAAUGUAUUAAAAAUGAACAAACUGUAAUAAAAAAUGAGCAUGAAAAAUAAUAAAGUCAACAUGAAAAUAAGCUAAGAUGUUAAUUUAGAUUUAAUUUUAUUUGUUUAAAUAGUCAAACAAAAAUGCAAUAUUUUUCAAAUGUAAUACGUCAUAAAAGUAUUGAAGCAAACAUGAAAACAAUUUGAGAUGUUAAAAAAUGUAAAAUAAAAUAAUCAUGUUUCUAAAAUAAUAAUAAUAAUCAAACGUGAAUUUUUUUUAUCUUGUGACCACAAAUCUCCUAUUGAAUCUCAUGCGAUUGUGUGACUGUUCCAAGUGUUGUGGCCAGUACAUUCAAUUAUGAAUUAGUCAAACAUGCUGUCAACUCAUGCUGACCUUAAUGUUAUAAUAACCUGAUGACUUUGUCAAACAACUUUUAUGGAACAUAAACAUCAUCACAAACACAAAUCAUGCAUAUUGUUUCUCUACUCUAUUUAUGUAUAUAUCGUAUUUAUGUAUUUCAAUAUUGUAGUUGCCUGCUUAUGCUGUCAUAGAAGAACGCCGAAUAUGAACAUGUGCAUGAGACUAACCGCUUUGUUUGUUUUUCUAUCAUUUAACUCAGACUUUUAAAAACUACGUCUUUUUUUAUUUAUGAUUUUUUUGAAUUGAAUGAAUGUCCUCCACUGUCUGGACACUUUUCACCCUUUUUUUGCUUGAUGCGUUGCUGUGCCAAGUGCUUGCUCCUCCCCUAACAUGCAUGCGCCGCUAAAAGCUUCAGCACACUCGCAAUUACUCGGCCGGUAUGAGUGCCACGUAUUUGUCGAUGACUGAAGCCCAGAUCAGACACUUUGGCACAGACUUCCAGGCGUAGCCCGCGCACCGACUACACAAACGUGAAGAACUGUCUUCAUGCGUCCGUCCUGUUUCCUCAGCCUGAACUCUGCUGGCUACGUGAGGCGUCUACCUCAGUAACACACGCGCGCACACACACACACGUUCAGUCUGUGUGUGUGUGUGUUCCCUUGGCUGUGUUGUAUGAAGAUGCUGUUUUGUGAGGCAAGCUAAACCUCGUGUUUGUUUUUUUAGCUUUUUUUUAGUCCUAUAAACCAGUAGCCUGCAUGGGUUUGAUUGAACACUUAGUUAAAUGUGUAGCCUGAAUAGAAUUUUUGCCACAUCUCUUCACCAUGGAGUUACUCGAACUCCGUAUAAGACCGAGCGGGCCAUAACAUUAGGUACACCUGCACGUCUAACCUGAUUGCUGUAUCGAGAGGGGGGGGGGGGGGGAGUGGACAAGUCUAUUGUUAUGACCUAUUUGCAGCUAGUACAUGUAUUUCCACAUUGCUAGUUCCCACAGUAAUUACUUUUGAUUCAAAAUAAUCAAUAUAUUAAGCCUUAACUAUAUAAAAUAUAAUUAAAAUGAUGACUUAUGGGCUUAAUAAUCAAUUAGUUGAUUGUUGAUUGUUAAUAAUUCUGGCUCAUGUGUGGAUUUUGAAAUAAGAUCUGAACCCAGAACCUCUCACACGUGAGUGCGGUGGAUUUGUUCACAAUUUGUACUGGAUUAGAAUACUCUUAAGGCAGCAGGGUGGGAAACUGAAGUUUACAACAUUCAGAGAAAAACUCCCAUUCUUUUGAAACAGCUCUUUUUUUUGGAUGACAUCAUAUUGUGCUGAAGGAAGAACAUGUAUGAAUGAAUCUAUGAUCAGAAUUAUGAGGUGUUCAAAGACCUCUUCAGAAAUGGUUUUAUUUUGCAUGUGCAAUAUUUGGCUGGACUAAAAAAAGCACGGCAGAACAGGUCGGACUGUCAUUGUGUUAGUCGCAUUCCAUCUUUGAACUGCAGAGCACAAUCACUUGUUGACUUAUAAUUAUGCAGAAAUUGUGUGUUUUCUCAUGAGAACAUGUCCAGCAAUGUUUAAUGCCUUUUUAUUGUAUCAACUAAACUGUUUGUCAACCUUG